rnacentral:rRNA from 11 species
AAAGUAAGGGCGUAUGGGGAAUGCCUAGGCUCUCAGAGGCGAUGAAGGACGUGAUAAGCUGCGAUAAGCAAUGGGGAGUUGCACAUGAACUGUGAUCCAUUGAUUUCCGAAUGGGGCAACCUGUAUAUUCCUUAGGGAAGGCGAACGGGGGGAACUGAAACAUCUAAGUACCCCUAGGAAGAGAAAAUAAUAAUGAUUUUGUGAGUAGCGGCGAGCGAAAGUGAAAGAGCCCAAACCAGUAUUGUUUCGGCAAUGCUGGGGUUGUAGGACUACGAUAUGGACUUAUGUUGUAUAGUGGAAUUACCUGGAAAGGUAAGCCAUAGAGAGUGAAAGCCUUGUACACGACAUGCAAUAUAUACCUAGUAGUAUCCUGAGUAGGGCGGGGCACGAGAAACCCUGUCUGAAUCUGCCGGGACCAUCCGGUAAGGCUAAAUAC